AGUUGUUUGGACUCGAGUCUUACAACUGCCUACGUACCCAAUUCUUUGGGAUCAAAGUCCACGUAGUUUGGUAGUUAAAAAGCUGAUAUGAAGUGUUUGCAUAAUCUUUACUAUUGUAAAAGUUACAUUAUCAUGCUCCUUCCUAUUUAAAACAUAUUUAUUUAUUGGUUUUGAUGGCAAAAAUUUUAGAACAAGAACCCUCGUGUUUAACCUUGAACUAAAUAGUAUCGGGUUUGAGCUCAAAUCUACACAAUAAAGUGAUGUGCAGAAACGGGCGUUCCAGUUAUUGUUGAUCAGAUUACCUUAGGGGUAGGAUUAAAGAUAAUGUCCAACAGGACUUAGCCCGACGUGGUCAAUUUGAAUUCAGGUAACGUAAUAAAAUGAUUAAAGGAUAUACAAACAAUAAUUAACGAGGUGUUGCAGUAUUGUAUAUAUAAUUGAUUUUGAAGUAAUGCAUGUGUUUGCAUGGUCUACAUAAUAAAGUGAUAUAAAAAACAAUAGUUAACGAGGUACUGUGGUAUUGUAUAUACAAUUGGUUUUGAUUUAAUCCACGUGUUUGGUAUAUGUACAUUUAGAAACAUAAUCGACUUAAACGAUGCAUUUUAGCUAAUAGUGGUGGAUAACUAGGUUGGACUUAACUUGUGUCGCUCGGUCAUUCAGCAAACAUAAUCGUGCUCUAUGAUAUAUACAUUAAGCAAACAUAGUGCACUCUAAGGAUAACUCAAAAAUCCAUGUAUAAAUGGUACGCUUCCUUUACUAUUCAGUAAGAUGUUCUUUGUAAUUAGCUUUUAAGAGUUGUAGUUAGCUUUCAACCUUAAUAGUUUACUUGUUUCAACAAAUUUAGUUUAUUAGUUUCAUUAGGUUUCUACAUUAGUUGAAUUUAUUUUAUAAACUAGUGUAUGUAUUAGUUGAUUUUAUUAUAUAAACUAGUCUAUGUUAUGGAUGAUGAUAUAGGCUUAGGAGUGGGAGUUAGCUCGGGUUUCUACAGGGCUUUGCCCGAACAAUUGGAUUUAGGAUAACCGUAAAAACUUUAAACUAAAUAGAAUUGGGUUGAGCUCGAAUCUACACAAUAAAGUGAUGUGCAGAAAAGGCCGUUCAAGUUAUUGAUGAUCAGAUUACCUUAGUGGUAGGAUUUGAAGUAAAAAUUCCAAUAGGACAUAGCCAGACCUGGUCAAUUGGAUUUCAGGUAACGUAAU
rnacentral:lncRNA from 1 species